rnacentral:lncRNA from 1 species
GAGCUAUUCCACUCGACAAACAAAUGACUCCAAGAACCUCUCUUACACUCUUGAUCCUUGCUCUCAACCUCCUCUUCUUCACUUACACAUCUGCCGCAUUAUUGCCACCGAUCCCGGGCAUCACGGUCCUCCCGGGCAUCACGGUCAUCCCGGGCAUCACCGUCCCGGGCAUCACGGUCCCGGGCAUCCCGGCCACGCCAAACACCCCAGCCACGCCAAACACCCCGACCAAGCCAAACACCCCGACCAAGCCAAACACCCCGACCAAGCCAACGAUCCCGACCACGCCAGCCACCCCAGCCACCCCAGCAACGCCAGCCACCCCUGCCACUCCAGCCACCCCAGCAACGCCAAACACCCCAACGUCUCCGACACUCCGCACACCUCCAGGCACAGGUUCUUUAUCCUAGAGAUGCUCUAAAGAACGGUGUUUAAGCUAUUGGACCUAAGAUUGGAAUCUCACCUGAGCCAUGUUGCUCAUCUAAGGCUUUUUGUUGUUUAUAUUUGGUUUUUAUGUGUGCAACUUAUGCAUUUGCUGAGUAUCUUGAAUUUCUAAAGUUUGUUUGUUUUAAGAAAAUAUGUCGCACAUAAUUUAGACAGCAUAUAAAAUAUUUUCUAACUUUUAUCAUUUUUCAAAUACACAGGUUUACUUUUUCUCUACGUAAUUAGACUUUAUUUUAUGAGGAUAAACUAUGACUUUUUGUUAAAGUUUUGCAUUGAAACAACACUUUUUUUUUGAAAAGAAAACAAAGAUCUAAAACAACACUUAAUUUUAAAAGAAAUAAUGUAUUUUGUAAAGGAUUUUUUUUUUUUUUGUAUAUAAAAAAUUAAUAUUUCAUCCCAACCGGAUUUUAGGCCAUGGACUUGGGAAAUGGGGUUUACAUCUAAUUUACAAUUUCAAAAAAAGAAGGAAACCGAUGACUCGAAAUUGGACAUUGAUGGUGUUCGGAAACAAGGAAACACAUCCACUACUACCGGCGAUUACAAGAAACACUGCUUUGCGGCUACAUCAACGAUAUCGAAUCCAGGUAAUAAGUUCAUGUCGCAAAGCCGAUCCGGACGACAAGCCUCAACCCGCAACAUUUAUCCCGAAAUAGAUCGGUUCUCAGAAAAUCUGAGACCUAAUCUAUCUAAUCCCCUACCUAGCAAAAAGGGAGAACUCAGAUCGAUCUAACACUUAGCCUCCGGUACCAACAAGCAUCAGACAUAAAAAAAGGGACCUUUCAGCUUCAUAUGUCAAGGUUCCAGAUCGCUAUGUUGACGCUAUCUUCUAACCACCACGUUAUAUAUCCUUCUUGUUGCACUUGCACCACAAAACCUCUAUAUUUCAUUUUCAGAUCUCUUUUUCUAUGUAUACGUAAACAUAUCUAUAUAGUAUAUAUACGUUAUUGGAAUUCUUUGCUAAGAACUUGAAAUGAAGCAAACAGUCUUAUUAGGUAACACAAAAAAAAAAGAAGUUUUUUUCAGAUUUCUCAAUGUUCUUUUACCAAAAUAUGUUAUUGUUCUUUUUUUCCGCCAAAUAUGGUAUUGUUCAUAUUCAAGGUCCGUGAGCUUUGCUUCAGAGUAGUAGGCUUUGGAUACUUUUGAUAAAACCCCAUAUUGUAUGUCAAGGCCCAUUAAGAUGCGGAUCCAAGCCUUGACGUUUAAACAAAUAUAAGUCUUCUCGUAGGUAACAUCAAAGGCCUAUUAGCUCAGUUGGUUAGAGCGUCGUGCUAAUAACGCAAAGGUCACAGGUUCGAUCCCUGUAUAGGCCAUUACUUUUUAUAUUUUUAGUCAUCGUCGUUCCAACUUCCCCAACCAUCAUCAAUAUUUGAUUUUCAUUCCACUCAGGUGGUCACUUCACCAGUAGAGUUUUUGUGUGAAUUGAUAACAAAAAUGUUUGUAAGCUUAAAUUUUUCCUGUGCAUAGUAAAACAAAAAAACCAAGCACUGUAAUCUCUUCUUGGAGAUUUUUUUAGCCACCAACACUGUUCAUUCGUCUAACUUAACUUUUUUUUUUUUUUUUGAUAAACCCUAUCGGCUGAUCCGGUCGGCCUCGGUAGGAACACACCGAGGUGCUACAGAGUGGACUUCUUCCGAUCCAGGUAGAAUUGGGUCACCACACUGGCUGAUCCGAGUUUGGAAUGCCUUCCGACUAAUGCCAGGGGUAGUCAGGCCGCCUGCAUUUCUGACUACCAGGUAAACCAAUUGGGCCAAGGUCCAACUGAGUAACUGACAGACUUCCCAAACAAAUGUGUUUUUGUUUCCAGGGAGAAUCGAACUCGGGUCUGGGAGUUUCACCCAAAUUCACUUCCACACAAUACAAAUUUGUAACAAAGGUUAAUGAAUUCUUGUGAUUUAUCAACAAACAAAAAUAACCAAAAUGUGACAUAUGAGAGACUAAGUUGUUGUAGACUAAUGGUUAUCACUUAAAAUGUAAAAAAAUUUCGUAGGUCUAGAUCAAGAAUCGAUUACUCUCAAAUAUUUUAAGAAAAAUCUGCACUUUGUAGUACAUUGGUUACCCUUAGAUAUUUUAAAUAUUUUUAAAAGCUAUGAUUUUUAUGGGUUCUGGAAAUUAAUUUUGAUUUUAAUUUAGUAUUUCUCUGUUUGAAAAAGAAAAGCAACUAAAUAAAAUAGAAAACAUGUAGAAAAAAUCAUGAUAUUUUUGCCUGUCCAAUUGUGAAAGUAGAUGGUUGGAUCUUUGUGUUUGGCAAAAUGGCAAUAGAAACGUAGAUCUAUAUUAUGACAAAACAAAAAAAAAAUCGAAGAGGCAAAAGCGCCAAUCUGUUAACUGAUUCAAAGCCACUCCUUCCAUAUCUUUGUUCAUAAACAAACGCUUAUCUUCUUAUCAUCUUCAAAAGUUUUCUCUUUUGCCUCUCAACAUUACAUGCCCUACAACAUAAAUGCGAGGACGUCGGUUAUAAACGGACACUAACAAAAUUAUGUCGUUUAUUCAACCGACUUGCUAAGGGCCAACGUAAGUUAUAUAGCCUGGAUUACGGAUUACCUACCAUGAAAUAUCUCAAUAAUAAGUCUUAUUCUAUGUUCCAUAAUCAUAAGAUUAUAAUUUCAUUCAAAUAUACUUCUUUGAAAUAAUACUGAUAUUUAAUAAAUAGUAUUGGGUUUCUUCAAAUUAUGCAUGCUUCGGAUAUUUGAUUAACUUUGUUUCACGAACUCUAAAGCCCUAAAUUAAUAUGAAUAAUUUUAAAAAUAAGUUUAUCAAAGAUAUAGCUUUAUUGCUGGCAACAAAAAAGGUAUAGCUAUAUUGCAAGAUCUUAUACUAUUAUUUGGGGAGUACACUUUAUAAGAUACCCUUAACUAACCUUUCCUUUUGUAAGAAUUUACUUAAGAAUGCCAUUACAAAAAUCUUCUUUUAGAACAAAUUUCAUUCAAUUUAUUAAGAAUAAACAAGUAAAGUACUAGUUUAUGUCAUUUAAUUAAUUUGACUAAAUUAUAAAACGAAAAUUUGUUAUUAUUUUUUUUAAAUGACCAAUCAAAAUGAACAUAUAAGAUUUGAUAUCUAACUUAUCAUAUUAAUUUGUUAUUAAUCAUUAAACUUCACCUCUCAUCUUAAUAUGAUUAUAUUAAUAUGAAAAAAACUAAAUCAUCAUAUCAUCUACAUAAUAAAAAAAAAGUAAUUUUUUUUUCUGCAUAUGCCAAGAUUUGAAUUUUUAAAAACGCAUAUAAAUUGUUCAAUCUAUAAAGGAAACAAUUAAACGGGUCAAAAAUUCAGACUUGAGUAGUAUAUUUCUUUUACACAAAAAUAAAGUCAACAAAAAUUCCGACUGAGCAACAGGUCAGAAUUUGAAUAUUUAGAUUCGAUUUCAUACAUUUAUUUUUUUGAAAUGCAUAAUUUUAUAUACUACAAUAAAAAUUUAAAUAUUUUAAUUUGCAACAAUUAAAAUAAGUUUUACUUGAUAUUUUUAGAGAAUAUCAUCAAUACUUAAUAGUUCAAAAAGUUAAAAAUUAUAAAUACUCUAAUUUGAUUAUUUUUAAAAAUAUUUAUAAUAGUUAGCGGGUUAAAUAUAAUAUAUUAUACGAUGAAAUGAGUUUUGAUCCAUAUAACUAUUUGAAUAGUUAUAUUUAAUUUCAUACAAUUUGUUUUUUGAAAUUCAUAAUUUUAUAAACUACAAAAAAAAUUUAAAGGUUUUAAUUUGGAAUAUUUAAAAAUAGUGUAGAACAUUUAAAUAUGGUUUGACACCUCUAAAUAUUUGAAAAUUUGAUUCUGCAAGCAAUUUUAGAAUUAACGAAUAAUAGAUUGUGCACGCAAUAUUUUAAAAUGAAAUAUUGAGAUUCUAAAAUAAAAAUAUAGACUCCACGCACGGGUUGAUUUUUGUAUUAUUAUAUACUAAAUAUAUGUUUUUAACAUAUUUGAUUAUGCGAAUAAUUGGUAAAUUCCGUAAUUAUAAAUCUCAAACAAAUUCUGUAAUUAGAUUAGCUCAAACAAAUCUCUAUUUCAACAACCAAAGAAUCAUAAAUUGAAAAAGAAUUUUCUAAAUUAAUUCAAAAUAAUUGCUAAUUUUCUUAAUUAAUUCAAAAUAAUCUAUGUUUUAUAUGGGAUUCAUUUAUGAUAUUUUAAUUUUUGAUCUAACUGAAAUAUAUGCAAUCCUAUUUUGUGGUUGUUAACAUAAAUUAACUCAUUGUUCAAAAAAUAUUACUUUUCAAGAAAUAAAAUUAUUUUCUGUUUUCAUAUCUUAAAAAAAUUUAUCUAUAAUUGAGUAUUAUAAAAAAAGUUCUAUAUUUAUUCUAAUAUUGUAUACAGGGACUGACAAAAAAAUUAAUAUUUUUUCACUUACUAUUAUAAUAUAUUAAAACUUAGUUCUAAUAUAUGUAUUAUAUAAAUUUUGUAAUAAAUAAAAUUCAACCCGUACUUUAGUACGGAUGAUGAUCUAGUUAAAUAUAUAUAAGGAUAUCUCUAUAUUAUAUUCGUUAAUUGUGAUUUGUCUGGUUUAGUUUUCAACGAACAAAUAGUUAAAUAAUACUUUCUUUGUUUCUAAAUAUAAAAUUUUAGAGUUUUUAUUCUGUUUUAAAAUAUAAAAUUUAUUCACGUUUCUAUGCAUAUAUUUAUUUUCAUACUGUUAAAAGUAUCUAGUCAAAAAAAGCCAAAGAUCAAUCACAACUCGUAUUGAUGGCUUCCGAAAUUUUAAUGUGACUAUUAGUAUUCUUUCUCUACGAAUGAUUUUUGUUUAUCAAAUGAUGUUUUUGUUUAAGAAAUAAUUCUUUUUUAAUUUGUGUGUUUUAACCAAAAUAUCAUAUAUUUUAUUUUGAUAUUCAUCGUAACUUUCCAAAUUCAUAUCUCAAUGAAAAAUUAAAAGUUUUUAAAUACGGAAAACACAACUUACAAUCUAUGAAAGUUAUUUUAUCGACAAUCGUAGUACAUAUUAUAUAUAGUUUUAGGAAUUGAAAUAUCAUCAUUCUUCUAAUGAGAACCCUAUAAAUACCCACUAAACACUUGAAGAAAACUAAAUACAGUACUAAUUCACCUAUUGUUGGAGCUAUUCCACUCGACAAACAAAUGACUCCAAGAACCUCUCUUACACUCUUCCUUGCUCUCAACCUCCUCUUCUUCACUUACACAUCUGCCGCAUUAUUGCCACCGAUCCCGGGCAUCUCGGGCAUCCCGGGCAUCCCGGACAUCCCGGGCAUCCCGAACAUCCCGGGCAUCCCGGACAUCCCUGGCAUCCCGGACAUCCCGGGCAUCCCAGCCACGCCAAACACCCCAGCCAACCCAGCCACGCCAAACACCCCAGCCAACCCAGCCACGCCAAACACCCCAGCCAACCCAGCCACGCCAAACACCCCAGCCAACCCAGCCACGCCAAACACCCCAGCCAACCCAGCCACACCAAACACCCCAGCCAACCCAGCCACACCAAAAACCCCGGCCACGCCAAACACCCCGACCACGCCAACGACCCCUGCCACUCCAGCCACCCCAGCAACGCCAAACACACCAGCAACACCGACCACCCCAACGUCUCCGACACCCCGCACACCUCCAGGCACAGGUUCUUUAUCCUAGAGAUGCUCUAAAGAACGGUGUUUAAACUAGUGGACCUAGAUUGGAAUCUCACCUAAGCCAUGUUGCUCAUCUAAGGCUUGUUGACCUUGAGUCUUCAUUAUUCCUCUAUCUCUUCUUUGUAAUUGUGUCUUUUCAAUUUGAAUAAUAAAAUUAUAUCAACCGACCCAUGUUAUUGUUUAUAUUUGGUUAAUAUGUGUGCAACUUAUGCAUUUGCUGAGUAUCUUGAAUUUCCAAAGUUUGUUUUGUUUUAAGAAAUUAUGUCGCACAUAAUUUAGACAACAUUAAAAUAUUUUCUAUCUUUUAUCAUUUUUCAAAGACACUGUGUUAACUUUUUCUAUAGCAGUGCGAGUAGUUGAGCCACGAUAAAUCUCCAACACGAUACCACUGGCGUCCUCGCCACGAGGUAAAACGUCGGGAGGCUUCUCUAGAUAGUCUAGACUGCCGAGAUGUUUGGGUUAAAUGCAUCAUGAAGCGGAUAAUCCACGCCUCAUCACUGCCGGAGAAGAAAGCCUUCUCACCAACGCUUCACCAAAAAAAUCCACACCUUCAAUGAGGAUCUAAAAGCAACAAAAAAAACCCGGAAGUAAAUCUUUUUUUUUCCAAAGAUCCAAAGAGAGAAAAGAGAGAAGCGAUAGAACGAUUGUCCU